AUGGAAAAUAUCACAUGGUCAAGGAAAGAUGUGAGGGAGAAGUCAUAAGGACUUAGGAAAAGACAACUGUGGUGCUGAGAGAAUCCAACUGCACUUACACUGGGCUACCUAAUUAUGUGAUGGUGGAUGAUAUUGACAUAGGUCUGCUGUGGUGAAACUACAAUGUUCUGAAGAUGGACUACAAAAAGCGCAUCUUACAUACUCUGUUCCGGUCGUUCUUACGGUGUUGUUUCAUGCACUUUAUAUAAACAUGCACAACACGCUGAAAAAUAACUUCAGGUCAGAAUUGAAUUUAAAAAAGGAAUAUAGCCUGCCAGUCAUAAAACUGAAACAAAAUUGUCACAUUGAGAAUGUCUGCUCACACUCACCCUCCUUGAUCCCAAUCAUUGUAUGAAAAUAAAUGUUAAAUGUAUGACAUCACAUGGUAGGCCUACAAAUCUACAACUGUACAUAAUCGUCGUUCUUAAGUUUCAAACAUGAUGACUUAAAAACAUCAAUGUCAGACUAAAAACGUCUUACAUCCCUUUUUCUUGAAAGACAGACUUCUGUGUUAUGGUUAAUAUACCGAUAAUAAUCUGUUAUUAGCCUAUAAUGCAUAUAAUAGUUACCACAUACAAACCCAAACACCUUGAAAUGUUGACUUGUUUGUGCUUUAAAGUUGUUCUGGUUGAUAGAGGCUGUGGAUCUGUGUGCCCUCCAUCCAAAGCUCUGUUCAACUUGUUUGAUAACAGGAUAAACAAAUAUACAAUGCAUUGUUUUGUUGCAGAUUUUUGUGUGAAGAUACAGCGUGUCUUGAGAUUUAAAUAAUAAAGUUAGGCUGCUGUGCUUGGAUAACUGUAGUGUGCCCUGCAUAAAUGCGCACAGCAUCUCUCUUAAUGUGGAGUGAUCCCUGCAAGGAUUUAAUAAAGCAGAAACGAUAAGUGCGUUUUCAAUAAGACAGCAGCUGUGCACAUUUACACGUGAGGCACUGCAGCGUAACAUUGAUUAUCUAUCUAUCUAUCUAUCUAUCUACAGCAAGCAUAGUCAAUGACUGUUUUUGUAGAGGUGCAGUUGGGGCAGAUAAUAUAGAUAUAACAAUUAAAGUGAAAAAACAGUUGUUUUCUGGUUUUGAUUUAAUUUCUAUUCCAAUUGCCGAAAACGGGAAGAGCACAGAAAUUUCAGUUUUUUUUUUACAAUUCAUUACAGAAAACGUAUAACGCUUUGUACAUUUGUUUAUUCUGUUUUCAAACAAGCUGAGCACAGCUUUGGACAGAGGGGACACAGACUGCUGUGGAUGUGUAAUAUGGGUUUAAUCGUUUGAAAUUGUGAAUGGUGCGUCGCUUACUGCUGCAAGGAAUUGUGGGACGGAAUCAUCUCCUUUCCUUUCGUAAAGGAUGGUCAAGUGUACCCUAUGCUAAAGGAGAUGAGAAAGGAAACAUUGGAGCACCUUUCCUUAGCAGUUAGAGAAUUUAACCAGCUCUUAUCAUGGCUGCCACUUAGAUACUUCCGGGUCAUUUCACUCAGUUAGGAACCUUACUAAGCAAAAAAGACUAUUCAACCACAGCCUUGGGAUGCCUGUCAAAAUGGCGCACCAGGAACAACUUCCGGUUCAGGCGAGGAGCGAGGAAAGAUCAAAUAAGAGACUUGAGAUGUACCCCUCAUGCCUCUAAAAAGAAAUUUCCUUGUGUCUUCUCUCCUCGUUUGGUUUCCUUGCGUCUCUCCAUGCAGGAAAAGAUGCAAGUGAGGGAAACGUGGAUGCAAUUUAACUUGGGAUGCACCCACAGACUGACGCCACUUGGGUGUGGGCUCUAUUAAAACUCCGGCAUAUGCCUGUCAUAUUCGGGUGUGGGACCUCCAUUGGUAUGCUGAUGCAUAAACUCACCCUAUGGCAAGAUGUACCAGCACUCAGGGGCAUGGAGAGUUUCCAGAGGACCAGAGAAGAGAGCUUGUGAGAUACCAGGGAAGGCAGCUGUGGAUGGAGUGUCGCUCACCUCGAAUGCUUUUGCUGGGGUUUCAUGUCUGCUGUCUGAGUCCCUAACUGUACCUACCAAGAUUGGCUUUCACAGUGAUACAUAUACUCACCAAGCACUUUAUUAGGAACACCUGUGCACCUAAUGCAAUCCUAUACAACAGCUCUGCCAUAAUAUUUCUACAAAGCCUAUACAUAUUUUGUCCACCUUGAGGGGGUAAACAAAAUAUUAGGAACUCUUUUCAAUAUAAUGGGGCUAAGCACUUCAGUGGCUCAUAACAGUCACUACUUUAGUUUUUGUUACUUCACCAUCCUAUAGAU